CCUACGGGUGGCAGCAGUGGGGGAUAUUGCACAAUGGGGGGAACCCUGAUGCAGCGACGCCGCGUGGGUGAAGAAGCGCCUCGGCGCGUAAAGCCCUGUCAGCAGGGAAGAAAAUGACGGUACCUGACGAAGAAGCCCCGGCUAACUACGUGCCAGCAGCCGCGGUAAUACGUAGGGGGCAAGCGUUAUCCGGUUUUACUGGGUGUAAAGGGGGGGGAGACGGCGAUGCAAGCCAGGAGGGAAAGCCCGGGGCCCAACCCCGGGACUGCGCUUGGAACUGCGUGGCUGGAGUGCAGGAGGGGCAGGCGGAAUUCCUGGUGUAGCGGUGAAAGGCGUAGAGAUCAGGAGGAACACCGGUGGCGAAGGCGGCCUGCUGGACUGCAACUGACGUUGAGGCCCGAAAGCGUGGGGAGCAAACAGGAUUAGAUACCCCUGUAGUC
rnacentral:rRNA from 1 species